UUUGGUAGAAAAAAUCAUUAAAGAGGACUCCAACACAGUUAGAAUUGUUUGCAAAGACUCACAACACACAAGGAUGAGACAUGGGUGGAUAAGAAAUCAAAAUAUGUUGAGGAUGAAUUUAAGAAUACUUUAGAACAGGCUAU